rnacentral:rRNA from 1 species
CGUGAACGCUGGCGGUAGGCCUAACACAUGCAAGUCGAACGGCAGCACAGUAAGAGCUUGCUCUUACGGGUGGCGAGUGGCGGACGGGUGAGGAAUACAUCGGAAUCUACUUUUUCGUGGGGGAUAACGUAGGGAAACUUACGCUAAUACCGCAUACGACCUACGGGUGAAAGCAGGGGAUCUUCGGACCUUGCGCGAUUGAAUGAGCCGAUGUCGGAUUAGCUAGUUGGCGGGGUAAAGGCCCACCAAGGCGACGAUCCGUUGCUGGUCUGAGAGGAUGAUCAGCCACACUGGAACUGAGACACGGUCCAGACUCCUACGGGAGGCAGCAGUGGGGAAUAUUGGACAAUGGGCGCAAGCCUGAUCCAGCCAUACCGCGUGGGUGAAGAAGGCCUUCGGGUUGUAAAGCCCUUUUGUUGGGAAAGAAAAGCAGCAGGUUAAUACCCCGCUGUUCUGACGGUACCCAAAGAAUAAGCACCGGCUAACUUCGUG